rnacentral:sRNA from 1 species
UUCUAGCUCUCUAAGAACAACCUCAUAAUGAUCUAUCUAACUUUCGGAAGAACAAUCCACUUAUUCUCGAAUACGAAUAAAGAGAAAAAUUACAAAAGGAAAUACAUAUUAGCCUUGCGAACUCGGUAGUAAAAUAUUAUGGUGUCAAACAUUUCGGUGGAGGCUUGUGUGCGUUAUGAUCGGUUUUGAAAGAGUUAACUUUAAGGGGGUGUUAUUCGUUAAUGAAUUUUAAUAGAAUUGAAAUCCAACACUAAUCCAAUGUUAUUCAACUAAUGAUUCUAAAUCCAGCUUUAAAAUCUAGUGUUAUUGGAACUCAUAUUUGUAAAUCAUGCUUAAUAGAUUUUAAAGUUUGGUGUUAUUCAAUUAAGAUUUUAAAUAUUUCAUUAAAAUCCAAUGUUGUUCAAAACUAAAAGUCUUGUAAAAUCUUUGUAUAUUAAUUGAUUUGAAAUGAAACCUCUUUGGAGUUUCAUGAGUAAAUCAUUAGAAUCAAAAUCCAAGAUAUAUUGCAGAGAUUUUGAAAUUCAUACAAACAUAUUCUUAAAAGCAAUAUCAGAAAACAAAUCUAAAGUUUAAAGAAUUAACUUUAACUCCAUAAUUGAAUAACACCAGUAAUUCUGAAUCUUUUUGUUGGUUUC